GUACCAAGGAAAACGGAGGGAUAAAACAUGCCGCUUUGAACACAUCACGCAUGCUAACAAACUACAACAAUGGAGGAGAACAAAGUAUUGUAAUGAGACACAUUUUAUCCAGCAGGAGCAGCAAGAAAAUGGCCGAGAGCAGCAAAGGGGAGACUCGGGGUUAUUAUACUGCUGCAUCCUGAGCUAAGGCACAGCAACGGGAUUACUUUUCCUCUUCAAUUUUGCAUUGGAUUUAUUCUGAGUGUUGGACCACCUCUAGUCAUACGAGUGCUUUCAAAGUUAAGUCCAACUCAUGGAUCGGCGCUUCAGGACAAGAUAAAAGUGUGGCGUGGCGUCAAUAUCGGACAAUAUGGAGCACUUGCAGCAAUCGUCCUGUGGCAAAAGUGAACACAAACCAU